rnacentral:rRNA from 1 species
CAAUAGCGUAUAUUUAAGUUGUUGCAGUUAAAAGCUCGUAGUUGGAUUUCGGUUGAGAGCGGCCGGUCCGCCGUUUGGUGUGCACUGGCUGGUCUCAACUUCCUGCGGAGGACGCGCUCUGGGCUUAACGGUCUGGACGUGGAGUCCGCGUGGUUACUUUGAAAAAUUAGAGUGUUCAAAGCGGGCUUACGCUUGAAUAUUUCAGCAUGGAAUAACACUAUAGGACUCCUGUCCUAUUUCGUUGGUCUCGGGACGGGAGUAAUGAUUAAGAGGAACAGUUGGGGGCAUUCGUAUUAACGCGUCAGAGGUGGAAUUCUUAGAUUGCGUUACGACGAACUACUGCGAAAGCAUUUGCCAAGGAUGUUUUCAUUGAUCAAGAACGAAAGUAUGGGGAUCGAAGACGAUCAGAUACCGU